UACGAAUGGGGCAAGCGUUGUUCGGAAUCACUGGGCUUAAAGCGUGCGCAGGCGGUCAUGCAAGUCAGAAGUGAAAUCCCGGGGCUCAACCCCGGAAUUGCUUUUGAAACUGCAUGACUAGAAUAUGGGAGAGGUUAGCAGAAUUCCGAGUGUAGAGGUGAAAUUCGCAGAUAUUCGGAGGAAUACCAGUGGCGAAGGCGGCUAACUGGACCAUUAUUGACGCUCAGGCACGAAAGCGUGGGGAGCAAACAGG
rnacentral:rRNA from 1 species